CGCGGGCGGCCGCACUUCCCGGCGGCGGGGUGGUUCCGGCGCACGCGCCGCUCCUCCUGCUUCUCCACUGGGGGGAACCGCUCCCGACAUGGAGUCCAGGAGGGCGGGCGGGACCCGGCGGGACGCAGGAUGGGAGGGGCCCUUACCCGGGCGCGGGGUUCCCGGGGCCUGGGUGAAGCGGUUUCCCCAGAAGGUGGGGGUGUCCCCGUCCCACCGCCGGCUCCCAGCGGGGAAUUUCCCCCUCUCCCACCACGUGCUGGAGGUGCGAGAGACCCCCUGCGCCGCCCGGCCUGGCCGGCUUAGCAGGGCACCCGCCCCCCCUUGGAGUUCCUGGCGGAAAAGGAGGAGAUUGAGGGGAGACCUCAUUGCAGUUACAACUUCCUCGUGAGGGGAAGAGGAGGGGCAGGCACCGAUCUCUUCUCUGCGGUGACCAGUGACAGAACCUGAGGGAAUGGCCUGAAGUUGUGUCAGGGGAGGUUUACGUUGGAUAUCAGGAAAAGGUUUUUCACCCGGAGGGUGGGUGGGUGCUAGAACAGGCUCUCCAGGGAAGUGCUCACAGCACCAAGCUUGUCUGAGUUCAAGAAGCAUUUGAACGAUACUCUCAGGCGCAUGGUGUGACUUUUGGGGAUGGUCCUGUGAAGGGGGAGGAGUUGGACUCGAUGACCCUUGUGUGUCCUUUCCAACUUGGCAGAUUCU